AACGCUAGCGGGAGGCCUAACACAUGCAAGCCGAGCGGUAGAGUAUCUUCGGAUACUUGAGAGCGGCGUACGGGUGCGGAACACGUGUGCAACCUGCCUUUAUCUGAGGGAUAGCCUUUCGAAAGGAAGAUUAAUACCUCAUAACAUACUGAUUGGCAUCAAUUAGUAUUGAAAGCUCCGGCGGAUAGAGAUGGGCACGCGGAA
rnacentral:rRNA from 1 species